rnacentral:rRNA from 1 species
GUGAGGAAUAUUGGUCAAUGGGCGGGAGCCUGAACCGGCCAAGUCGCGUGAAGGAAGAAGGAUCUAUGGUUCGUAAACUUCUUUUGCAGGGGAAUAAAGUGCAGGACGUGUCCUGUUUUGUAUGUACCCUGAGAAUAAGGAUCGGCUAACUCCGUGCCAGCAGCCGCGGUAAUACGGAGGAUCCGAGCGUUAUCCGGAUUUAUUGGGUUUAAAGGGUGCGUAGGUGGUUUGAUAAGUCAGCGGUGAAAGUUUGCAGCUUAACUGUAAAAAUGCCGUUGAAACUGUCGGACUUGAGUGUAAAUGAGGUAGGCGGAAUGCGUGGUGUAGCGGUGAAAUGCAUAGAUAUCACGCAGAACUCCGAUUGCGAAGGCAGCUUACUAAGCUACAACUGACACUGAAGCACGAAAGCGUGGGGAUCAAACAGGAUUAGAAACCCUGGUAGUCC